AUGAAACGGCCGUUAGGGUUGUAAAGCCCUUUCGGCGGGGAAGAUAAUGAACGGUACCCGCAGAACGAAGCCCCGGCUAACUUACGUGC
rnacentral:rRNA from 1 species